rnacentral:rRNA from 1 species
UACGUAGGGUGCAAGCGUUGUCCGGAAUUAUUGGGCGUAAAGAGCUUGUAGGCGGUUUGUCGCGUCUGCUGUGAAAUUUCGGGGCUCAACCCCGAACUUGCAGUGGGUACGGGCAGACUAGAGUGUGGUAGGGGAGACUGGAAUUCCUGGUGUAGCGGUGAAAUGCGCAGAUAUCAGGAGGAACACCGAUGGCGAAGGCAGGUCUCUGGGCCAUUACUGACACUGAGAAGCGAAAGCAUGGGGAGCGAACAGG